AGAGUUUGAUCCUGGCUCAGGACGAACGCUGGCGGCACGCUUAACACAUGCAAGUCGAACGAAGAAAUUUCACCGUAGCUUGCUACACCGAGAUUUCUUAGUGGCGGACGGGUGAGUAACACGUGAGCAAUCUGCCUUUCAGAGGGGGAUACCAGUUGGAAACGACUGUUAACACCGCAUAACAUAAUUAAUUCGCAUGAAUUGAUUAUCAAAGAUUUAUCGCUGAAAGAUGAGCUCGCGUCUGAUUAGAUAGUUGGUGAGGUAACGGCUCACCAAGUCGACGAUCAGUAGCCGGACUGAGAGGUUGAACGGCCACAUUGGGACUGAGACACGGCCCAGACUCCUACGGGAGGCAGCAGUGGGGAAUAUUGCACAAUGGGCGCAAGCCUGAUGCAGCGAUGCCGCGUGAGGGAAGAAGGUUUUAGGAUUGUAAACCUCUGUCUUCAGGGACGAUAAUGACGGUACCUGAGGAGGAAGCUCCGGCUAACUACGUGCCAGCAGCCGCGGUAAUACGUAGGGAGCGAGCGUUGUCCGGAAUUACUGGGUGUAAAGGGAGUGUAGGCGGGACUGCAAGUCAGAUGUGAAAAUUAGGGGCUCAACCCCUGAACUGCAUUUGAAACUGUGGAUCUUGAGUGAAGUAGAGGUAAGCGGAAUUCCCAGUGUAGCGGUGAAAUGCGUAGAUAUUAGGAGGAACAUCAGUGGCGAAGGCGGCUUACUGGGCUUUUACUGACGCUGAGGCUCGAAAGCGUGGGGAGCAAACAGGAUUAGAUACCCUGGUAGUCCACGCUGUAAACGAUGAUUACUAGGUGUGGGGGGACUGACCCCUUCCGUGCCGCAGUUAACACAAUAAGUAUUCCACCUGGGGAGUACGACCGCAAGGUUGAAACUCAAAGGAAUUGACGGGGGCCCGCACAAGCAGUGGAUUAUGUGGUUUAAUUCGACGCAACGCGAAGAACCUUACCAGGAUUUGACAUCCAACUAACGAAGUAGAGAUACAUUAGGUGCCCUUCGGGGAAAGUUGAGACAGGUGGUGCAUGGUUGUCGUCAGCUCGUGCCGUGAGGUGUCGGCUUAAGUGCCAUAACGAGCGCAACCCCUAUCUUCAGUUACCAUCAGGUAAUGCUGGGGACUCUGGAGAGACUGCCACCGUAAGGUGUGAGGAAGGUGGGGAUGACGUCAAAUCAGCACGGCCCUUACGUCCGGGGCGACACACGUGUUACAAUGGGCGGUACAGAGGGUUGCUACCUGGUGACAGGAUGCUAAUCUCAAAAAGCCGUUCUCAGUUCGGAUCGGAGUCUGCAACUCGACUCCGUGAAGCUGGAUUCGCUAGUAAUCGCGCAUCAGCCAUGGCGCGGUGAAUACGUUCCCGGGCCUUGCACACACCGCCCGUCA
rnacentral:rRNA from 1 species